GGAGCCAAGCCUGUGGGCGGUGGCGGCUGCACUCGCAGGGCCCUGGCAGCCGACCCUGACCCCAAGGUCCGAUCGCCCAGGGGAGGAGCAGCACCGGGACCCCGCGUCGGCUGGGCGCCCCACAAGGUAGGCGAGUCUGGCCACCUUCGGGCCCGGUCCCUGCGGCGCGCCCCCGCACCCCCUCCAGGUGUGUGGGUGUCCAGGUGCCUUUCCAGCGGCUUCCCCAGCGGAGUUCCUGGCAUCAAGGACAUUUCCUGUAAAAGGGUCCUUGUUGAAGAGGGAAGCCAGUCUUAAUAUGAUGGAAACAUCUCUGAACUUCUAAAAGACCAAGGUUGGCGUUUUAGCUCUAUUAAUUUUACUUCGUCUUGGCCAGAAUUCACAAUGGCAACAGUGACUGUGACCACAGAAAUUCCCCCAAGGGAUAAGAUGGAAGAUAAUUCUGCCUUGUAUGAGUCUACGUCCGCUCACAUUAUUGAAGAAACCGAGUAUGUGAAAAAGAUUCGAACUACUCUGCAAAAGAUCAGGACCCAGAUGUUUAAAGAUGAAAUAAGACAUGACAGUACAAAUCACAAACUAGAAGCAAAGCACUGUGGAAACCUUCAACUGGGCUCUGAUUCUGAAAUGGAUCCUUCUUGUUGCAGUUUGGAUUUGCUUAUGAAAAAGAUAAAAGGAAAAGACCUACAACUCUUAGAAAUGAACAAAGAGAAUGAAGUAUUGAAAAUCAAGGUAUGAUUGUUAGAAGUUUCAAAUUUUGUGUUUUGAGGCUUUGAGCUAAUAGAGUGGGUUGUUAGCAUUGGUGGCUCUGUAAAAACAGAGAGAUGUCCACACACAUCCAUAGGUCCAUCUGUGUGCUCCCUUACAUAGAGAAGCAUUUUUAUAUUUCACAAAUCAUAUCUCACUGUUUUAUUUUUGAGGCUUCUUUUGUUUCUGAAAAUAUCCUACAAAACUUCAACAAUUAGACAAUUUCAGUCAUGCAAGAUGAUUAAGUUCUAGAAAUCUACUGCAUAACAUUAUGCCUAUAGUUAACAAUACUGUACUGUACACUUAGUAUAUCUCACGUUAAGUGUUCUUACCACAAUCC
rnacentral:sRNA from 1 species